rfam:Lingula anatina scaffold195, whole genome shotgun sequence.
GGUUACUUCGCUGAAAUGGUUUCAAUAAUGUCUGUUAAACAUUACUUUGUGGGUUCAAAUCCCACUGUCACCA